AUUUUUGUUACUUGUUAACCGUUAAUGUCGAAAUUGAAGAAGUCUAGACUCUAGCCAUCAUAGGUUUAUUAAGUUUAGCAUAUUUGUAUGAGUAAACGACAACUAAACAAUAUAGUUCUCUUUUCAGUAUAACAUGAUCUGGAAUCCAGAAUGUGACUAAAAGUUGUCACAUGAAGCUGAUCAUAGACUAUAACUUUUCUGAAACAGAUCUAGAAUCCCAUGAAAAAGUGAAACAUAAAUCUGUGAAAAAAUAUUAACAUAAAAUGGAUGAGCAGAAUAGAGAAGAGGAGAUAACUGUAUCUAAUAACGAUGGUGAAAAUACUACCAUUUUCAUUCAAGUUCGACGAUCACAGAGGAAAAGCAAGAAAAAAAGCGAUCCCAAUUUCAUUGGAGAUGAUAAAACAGAAGCUGUAAAAAGUGACGAUGAGCCUGUAAUUUUUGAGGUGAGAGAAAUUUCUGGGGACAUUAAAAGGGAAAGUGAGGAAGAAGCAGAAGAAAAUUCUGUUGUUGCAGCAGAAGGUAUACCUGAAGGGAGCUCGAAUGGAGAUGAUGAUGUUGACUGGGAAGCAUUCAACAAGGAAUAUCCUGAACUCAGUGAAACAACACGUCAAGGAAAAUAUGGAUGUAAAGACUGCUCAAAGUCUUUUCAUCACAAGAAUGAUUUGGUACGACAUAUGAAUAUCCACAAUGGGACCAAGCCCUACACCUGUGAUACAUGUGGGAAAACAUUUUUGCGCAGUGAUUAUUUGCGACUUCACGUCAUCAAACAUCAGGGAGUGAAGCCCCUCAAGUGUGACUUGUGCGAAAGGCGUUUUUACGACCGAUCCAACUUACGUCAACAUAUGAGAACCCAUACGGGUGAAAAACCGGCCAUGUGUCCGUACUGUCCGCACAGAUGCUCUCAACUGUCCGACAUGAGAAAACAUUUGACCAUUCACACGAAAGAAAAAGCAUUUCAGUGUGAUACAUGUGGUAAAACUUUCUCGCUGAAGACUGGAUUAGUUGCCCACCAGCGCUUACACACGGGAGAACGUCCUUUUGCUUGUGAAUAUUGCCCUAAGCGUUUCCGUGAUCACACGUCUAUGAGACGACAUCGGCGAAUUCAUACAGGUGAUAAACCGUUUUUGUGCACUCAGUGUGGUAAGACAUUUACGCAAGUUGCAAAUAUGAAGAGACAUAUGCUGACGCACACAUCAGAAAGCAAAGGACGGCUAUAUCCCUGUCCUUUUUGUGGUGUUGAGCUGGCAUCGAAGAGCGACGUCCGAAGCCAUGUGGCCAAAGAACACGAGCAGAAGAAAGAGAGUCAGCAGCCCAAGGCCACCGGAUCUUCAGUAGCAGAAGAUAAUCCUGAUGGAGAAGCUAACAAUGAGUUCAUAACUGUUUACGCGGACGAAGACAAAUCUAUCAAGACUACCGUUGAAGGCGAAGAAACUCACGUGUGCAACCUCUGUGGAAAAACUUUUCCCAUGGACGCGAGCCUUCAAGAGCACGUCAGGACACACCUUAAUGCAUCUUCCAAAGAUUUCCAGUGCGAAACGUGCGGGAAAACGUUCUGUCAAGCUUCCUCUCUCAAGGCGCACCAGCUCGUUCAUUCGGGAAUAAAACCACACACUUGCAACGUUUGCCAAGCAAGUUUCCGCAAAACCCAUCAUCUUCGCCGGCAUUACCUAGUUCACACUGGCGAGCGUCCCUAUCAGUGUGAUUUCUGUGACCGGACAUUCACCAGCAGUGGUAAUCUGAAUAAACAUCGUGCCAUUCACUUGGGAGAGAAGAACUUUGAGUGCGAAUUUUGCUCCAAGAAGUUUACCCAGUCUUCGAAUUUGUCCAAACAUCGAGCUAUUCAUUUGAGACAACAAGCGGUGGUUGGAGAAAAUGGACAAUCUGGAGAUCAAAUUAUUAGCGCUGCUCCUGCGGUAGCUAGAAAAGGUCGAGGCGGAAAGAAGAGAAAUUCAGAGCCAGAAAAGGAGGCUAUUCUGACCUCGACUGUCGAUGAGCUCCAGCAAGAAGAUGAAGGUCAUGCAGCAGUCCUUCACAUUGUCGGUACAGGGGAUGAAACCCAAGGCGACCAUGAAACCGAGGUGUCGUAUGUUACGCUGUCCGAUGGUGAUAUCAUUAUUGAAAUUUGAUUUCGCCAAUCUAUGCUUGGAGAAUGCCCAUUUUGGGUUUCCAUUGUUUCCUUUACACAGUCUCAAAUGGAGGGUUAAAUUUACCUCAAGCUCUAGCUGACACCUACAGCACGUAAUAACUUGGCUCAACGUCUGAGGCUAGGUCGCUUGGUACGACGAAAUCACCUUGAUGCAGCUGCAAUCCAUUGACACCGAUCUCGCUCGGGCUGGCGGUUGGCUGUUCAGAAGGUAAAGAUUUUUUAAGUUUCUCUACUCGCCUCUUUUCCCGUCUCCUGGCAGCCAAAUCAAAGUUCUUUUUCGCCUUUUUGGCCUUCUUCUUUGCUGCCCUGAUUUCAUCGUCUUCUGUUGGCGAUAUUACAGUAUUUUCGAUACCGCCAGAUAAAACCGG